rnacentral:rRNA from 1 species
UCGGUGGGGUAACCGCAAGGAGCCAGCCGCCGAAGGUGGGGUAGAUGAUUGGGGUGAAGUCGUAACAAGGUAGCCGUAUCGGAAGGUGCGGCUGGAUCACCUCCUUUCUAUGGAGA